rnacentral:snRNA from 1 species
GUGCUCGCUUCGGCAGCACAUAUACUAAAAUUGGAACGAUACAGAGAAGAUUAGCAUGAACAUCACUCAUUAUUAGAGAAAUGCAAAUCAAAACC